rnacentral:rRNA from 1 species
UACGAAGGGGGCUAGCGUUGUUCGGAAUCACUGGGCGAAAAGCGCACGUAGGCGGAUCUUUAAGUCAGGGGUGAAAUCCCGAGGCUCAACCUCGGAACUGCCUUUGAUACUGGGGAUCUCGAGUCCGGGAGAGGUGAGUGGAAUUGCGAGUGUAGAGGUGAAAUUCGUAGAUAUUCGCAAGAACACCAGUGGCGAAGGCGGCUCACUGGCCCGGUACUGACGCUGAGGUGCGAAAGCGUGGGGAGCAAACAGG